rnacentral:lncRNA from 1 species
GUGAGAUUCAAAGUGUGUUAAGGGUAUCUAGCUGGCUUUAAAGAUGGAGGGGGCAAGGUGGCUCCUAGAAGGUGAAAUUGACCAGCAGCCUGCAGGGAACAGGGACCUCAGUCCUUCAACUACCUGGAACUGGAUUCUGUCAACACUCUGAAUGGGCCUGAAAGUGGAUUUUCCCCCGGAACCUCCAGAUAAGAGCCCAGGGUGGAGGAGAGCAACAGCAAGCUCCUGGAGUCAGAGAGGAAGCUGCAGGAGGAGCGACACCGCACCGUGGUGCUGGAGCAACAUCUGGAGAAGAUACGCCUGGAGCCAGGGAAGGCAUCAGCCUCCCAGAGAGCAGCUCCCAGGACCAAAACAGGGUUCCCCCAGACCACGCUGUCCAUCCUGUUUGUCACCUACUGUGGCGUCCAGCUGGUAAAGGAGCGUGAGCGAACCUUGGCACUGGAGGAGGAGCAGAAGCAGGACAAAGAGAAGCCGGAGUAGGAGGGAGCGGGUAGAGGGAUGGGCUCUGCUCAGCUAUUCUUGGGCCAGAUGGGGCCUGACCGAUAGAAUAAAAGACUUUUCUACAACA